GCCUUGCUACACAAGGGUUCUGCUCGGAUUGAAAAUCCGCGUGUCCGUGGUUCGAAUCCGCGUCUGGGCACCA
rnacentral:tRNA from 1 species